CUCCGUUUAAUUGGGUUGUAUGUGUUGCCUGUAUGUCAUGUUUACAUUUUUCUAGUUUUUGUAUCUUUAUCAUAUAUCUAACAGAUGCUGAAGAUCGUUUUCGGAUAUUCAUUUUGUGGCAUUUUUACGUCGUUUUCUGUACUCUGAAUAGCUUGUGCGUGAAGCGAGGUUUUUUACAGAAAUUUCUUGUGGAAAUUCAAGUUUUGGGAUGAAAAUAACCAUCUAUAUUUCCAUUAUCACUAAUUCGACGGUUGGGGUAGCAAUAUUACCCAUCUGAGGAUCAAACACAUACUCCUGCUAGUAUAGGAAGGCCGCCCAACAACUUGAACAAUACAAGUUUCUACGUAGUUUGGAUCGUCCCGUUCUGAACCGAACAACGGAGAUGAAAUUCACGUAUUUCCUAUCCGAAGAAAAGAAAAAAUAACUUGAGAGGGAUUUUCGGCCACUGUGGAUUUGUUUGGAUCCUCGAAUUGGUAGUUUCUCCGAUUGUAUUGCAAAUUCCUGAAUCGUCAAGUUAAUACAGUCCACGAACACCAACAUGGUCCAUUUGAGCCAACGGAUAUGAAAAAGAAGUGAAUAAACGUUGAGAAAAGCUGAAAAUCAGAUUCCAUUCGGCACCAAGAGGUAGUUGGUGAGUCCGUUCCUGUUUUUCCAUUUAUCCAGAUCUUGUUAUUCCCUUUUCACCUGUCGAGUUUUUAAAAUAGUCGUUUUGUUUUUUAAUAUAUUAUUAUAGCUCUGC